rnacentral:tRNA from 1 species
UGUUCUGUGGCUUAGUAGCUUAAAGGGCCGAUUUAGCGAAUAUGGAGUUGUGGGUUCAAAUCCCACCAGAGCAC